GUAACUUGCAGCGCAACCGCCGUGCAUCAGCAUGAGGAAGCUCUGUCCACUCGUGUUCCUUAGACCGGAACAUUCUGGUAUCGGAGCGAGAGUUCCGAAACCGAGUACAGAAACGCUACCACCAAUGGCCUUAGCUGUGAUAGAGAUGAGCAAUGGGUCAUUGAGUGGAUGAGACGACUCGGUUCCAGAAGAGUGCAAGUCAUACUGACGUAACUGAUGUUUAUUGUCAGACAAAACGACGCAUAGACAAAUGGUUGCGGCUCAACUGAUGACCCUGGUGGUGUGUCAGGGGGAAUGAGUCAACAGAAGACGGGCUACUGCAAGUUAC
rnacentral:RNase_P_RNA from 1 species